AGGGCGAAGGUAGGUUCCUCUCCAAGAAGGCUCAACUACAGGGUUUCCAGGAGCCUUGAACAGAGCACAGGUGAAGAGAGGAUGGGUUAUGCAGGCGCCGGCCACACAGCUGUUCCCAGGGACCCUUUAGGAGCGCUUGUACCGGCCACAGGAAACAGCAAAGGAACGGCAGCUGAAUCAGGAAAAGGGGGGACAUGGAUGCAGCUGGAAACCAUCAUUCUCAGCAAACUAUCGCAAGAACAGAAAACCAAACACCACAUGUUCUCACUCAUGGGUGGGAACUGAACAAUGAGAUCACUUGGACUCAGGAAGGGGAACAUCACACACCGGGGCCUAUUAUGGGGAGGAGGGAGGGGGGAGGGAUUGCACUGGGAGUUAUACCUGAUGUAAAUGACGAGUUGAUGGGUGCUGACGAGUUGAUGGGUGCAGCACACCAACAUGGCACAAGUAUACAUAUGUAACAAACCUGCACGUUAUGCACAUGUACCCUAGAACUUAAAGUAUAAUAAUAAAAAAAAAAUCACAAAGAACUUUAUAUGUACAUUAUAUAAAAGUGAGUUAGGUUAAUGAUGUGGUUACAAUUCCAUGGCUAUUUAAUGAUUAAAUAUUAGACGUUCUUCUUGAUCUCAAGCACUUAGAGCCCAGAAGAGAAGUCACACAUAAAACCCAUGUAGUACAGUUUCUCUUGCGCUGUUUCAAACAAAAAGGUUGACUGCUAUACAGCAUCAGAAAUCCUUCAGAAGGAACAUAGUAAAAGAAUAUUGCGUAAAACAGGACUUUAAAACUUAACAUUGCAUAUACCUUACAAAUGUUGUUGAAAAUGUUAAACAUUGUAUUACAUGAUGUCCUCCUUAGGAUUUUAGUGCUAUAUAUAGAUUUGCCUGUCUUGGAUAGAAAAGAGAGAACAUUUUCCUCUUUUUUAUGAAUCUGUGAAUUUUAUAACUGCUCUUUUUUUUCCUCUCUGUGUUAAUUUCUAGAAAGUAAAGAGUCAAUAUGAGUAGCAAGUUCGGGGGGACCUUACAGAAGAAAGUAAAGAUACUUUAUCAUAGACUUCCCCAGUUUAAUUUAAUCUGAACCAGACGCCACACGCCUAACAGUCCAUGCAACAAGCCAUGGCUACUUCAGUUCCGUGGGCAGUGCUCACACGGGCCUCCAUGUGUCCACACAGGACACAGCUUGCAAUCCAAUCUGCCUUAUUCUUAGAGGCAUUCUCUUGUUUUCAGAUCUGUCCCUGUCCACCCUCUGCACAUAGCUUUGCUUUAGUUUCCCUGUCCACCAUCUACACAUAGCUUUGCUUCUGUUUCCCUGUCCACCCUAUGCACAUAGCUUUGCUUCACUUACUUUGGCUUUGAUCUGUAACAGUUUUGAGACAUCUGGUC
rnacentral:lncRNA from 1 species